GGGACUGAAAGCUGCGAGCUGGAGGACAGACAGAUGCAGCGCUGCAUCACUUUAAUCCUCUUUACCCAGCCACGUGUGGAGAGAGAGACAGAGAGACAGACAGAGACAAACAAAUUCCACUCAGAGUAAACAUGCUAAGGUGCAAGAGGUGAGGAACGCUCUCGCGCACACACACACACACACACACACACACACACAUACACACACACACACACAGCCUUUGAACUAUGUAAAGAGGCAUAAUGCACAUCCUAUUAAUGAUUAAUCAGUCCUGGUUCAAAAUAAACAUUCACUUUAUGCUUGUCAAGACAGAGAGACCAUGUAUGAGGAAGGAAGGAAGAAAGAAAGAAAGAAAGAAAGAAAGAAAGAAAGAAAGAAAGAAAGAAAGAAAGAAAGAAAGAAAGAAAGAAAGAAAGAAAGAAAGAAGGAAGGAAAGAAAAUAUUUCCAAAUGGAGUUCCCAUUUACAAGCAUUAUUCGACUGGCAGACCGCAACUCUGCAGACCGCAGAGUUAAAAAUCAUCAUUUGUGUUCUGCUGAAGAAACAGUCACCUACAUCUUGGAUGCCCUGGGGUGACCUUCAGUGUGACCUCAGAUGACCACCACCUCAUCCUCAAACUCCAACUUUCUCCCAGAGUCUGGAGAGUUCUGCGAUCAGCUGUGCUGAAGGUCUCGCUAGAGGAAGACAAUUCCAUCAAACCAGAAGAAAAAAGCACUCAGGGUAUCUGUGAUAGUCACAUAAAAGAACAUCGGCCUGCGAAGAGAAGAGACACAUUGUUAUUGAUACAACAGAAGACAGAUAAUGUGAAAAAGAAAGGUUGGAAACACUGAGUUAUUGAUUUCUACUGUAACCAACCACAGAUCAGCAGCAUUCACCAGAGAUUACUCGACUAAAAGAUUAUACAUUUAGAACAUAUUAAAUUCUUCAGCCAUUAGUUUAUGUGUGUUAAAAUAUGCUCACUGACAAAAUCUGAGCACUUAAAAAAAGGGUUCAAUUUGUUAAUAUUAGUUAAUUCGCUGUAAAAAAAUAUUGUUGGUUUAACUUAAAAAAGUAAGUAACCUGGCUGCCUUAAAAUUUUUAGUUCAUUUAAACUAAAAAUUUGAGUUAAU